rnacentral:lncRNA from 1 species
CCUUUCGUUGCCCAAAUGCUCCUCUAGGUAAGAGAUGGUAAGUUUCCCAACUGUGCAUUUAGAUAACUCGUCCGUGGAUAAUAUUUAGCUUUAAGCACUCUUGCUAAAAGGGAAUCUGGAUAAUUUAUUAAACGCCAUCCCUGCUUGGCUAAUAAGGCGAUAUUAAACUGACUAAGCUUUCGGAAACCCAUUCCUCCGUUUUCCUUUAAAAGACAAAGGUUUUUCCACGAGCACCAAUGUAUACCCCCUUUUCCACGACCUUUCUGCCACCAAUAUUUUGCAACAAUACUUUCUAGAUCUUCGCAUAUUGAUUUUGGUAAUAAAAAACAUGUCAUUGAAUAUGUCGGUAUGGCUUGAAGAACAGCUUUUAUGAAAACCUCUUUUCCCCCUUGUGACAAAAACCGGUUACUCCAAUUCUCAAUACGCUUCUUCAAUCUAUCUUUCAAGACCCCAAAAGAUUGUUUCUUUUUUCGUCCAACCAUAUUCGGCAAACCCAAAUAACGUUCCGGCUCAUCUGAAAUUCGAACACCCAGCAAAUGUACAACUGAACUUCUUUCUUCAUCUGAAGUGUUUUUACUAAAGAAAACGGUAGAUUUAGCAAAAUUCACACAUUGACCCGAACAUCGCUUAUACUCCUUCAGGAUCUCCUUAAUUGCUGUAGCUCCUUUUCUUGACGCUUCCCCGAAUAAAAUGCAGUCAUCUGCAAAUAAUAAGUGUGUCACAUGUGGGCCACUUCUGCUUGCCUUGACUCCUUUAAUUGCCCCAUUAUUUAAAGCUAUUCUCAUCAGACUAGAUAAUCCCUCUCCACAAAUUAGAAACAGAAGUGGACUCAGUGGAUCCCCUUGUCUCAGUCCCCUUUUUGGAUUGAAAGUUUCACCUAUACUACCGUUGACCACAACUUGAUAAGAGACGGUCGACAUACAAUUCAUAAGAGAAUCAAUCCAUUUUGUGGCAAAACCCAUCCUCAGUAUUAUUUCCCGAAUAAAAUCCCAUUCAACCCUAUCGUAGGCUUUACUCAUGUCAAGUUUAACUGCCAUAAAACCCUUCUUCCCUGUUCUUUUUUGUUUCAGUGUAUGUAAUAAUUCAUAGGCCAGCAAUACAUUGUCUGAAAUUAAUCUUCCCGGUACAAAAGCACUUUGGGCACUGUCAAUGCAUUUAUCGAUAAUCCCUCUAAAUCUAUUUGCAAUAGCCUUAGCCAUGAUUUUAUAAAUAACAUUACAUAAACUGAUCGGCCUAAAAUGCGUCAUAUUAACAGGGUCAUUAUUUUUGAAAUAAGAACAAUAUGCGUUAAAUUGAUUGAACUAACCUCCAUUCCGCCAUUUAAAUGAAGUAAACAAAAUGCCAUAACCUCCUCUCCAAUGAAGUGCCAACAUUUUUGAUAAAAUAGAGCCGGGAAGCCAUCUUCACCGGGAGCCUUCGUGGGAUAAAUUUUAAAUAAUGCCUCUCUAACAUCUUCUUUUGUAUAUGGUUCUGUAAGCUUUAGGUUAUCUUCUUCAGCAACACAUCGAUCAAUUCCCGUAAGUAAAUUAUCAAAAUUCGCCUGAUUGGCUGUAUUAAAUAAGUGCUGAAAGUAGGACCGUGCUAUGCUUUCCAUUUCUUGAAGGUCGUCUGUUACCACUCCGCAAUCGCUUUGUAAUUUGUGUAUCGUAUUUUUCCUCUUCCUUUGCGAUGCUUGACUGUGAAAGAAGGCUGUAUUCCUGUCACCUAGUCUUAGCCAGUUUUGUCUUGCCCUUUGUUCCCAGUAUCUUUCAUCUUUUUCAAUUUCAAAAUUUAAAUGAAUCUUUGUAUCAAUCAGCUCAGCCAUAUUACUAUCGUCCCUUUCUUCUUCCAUCAGUUUUAAUAGCUUUGUUGAUAAAAGAUCUUUUUUCCCCUGCUUCCUUUUCCUUACUCGUCUCGCCCAGUCUUCCAUUCCUGCUCUUAAGCUUUCCAAUUUCUGUAAAAAACUCCCAGAAGCUGUUUCCCAUAUAUGUUUGGCUUCAUCCAGAAAAGAGUCUUCCAAUAUCCACCAGGCUUCAAAUUUGAAAUGGCUUUUCGGUCUUCGUUUAUCUUCUUUAGCUGUGUUAAUUAAUAAAGGACAGUGAUCAGAGAAAGAGUGAACCAGAUGUUGAACCUUCACCAUAGGGAACAUAGAAAUCUAAUUUUCGUUUGCUACACCCUUGUCCGGUCGUUCUUGUAUGCAUGUUUCCGGUAAAUUACCUCUUUCCCAUGUAAACCAUCAACCAGAAUAUCCCACGUCAGUCAACUGGCAAAAUUCUAAAGUUUCACGGAACAUCUCCAUUCUUUUUUCAUCUCUCAACAAACCUCCUUUUUUUUUCAAAGCCGUACAUAAUCUCAUUAAAAUUUCCACACACAAACCAGGGGAUUUCUUCAUUUUUUCGGAGACUUUUCAGCACUGCCCAUGAAUCUUCUCUAUUGUGCGCAUAUGGUGACCCAUAAAACCCAGUAAGUCGCCAUGAAGUAUCUCUUUCAUCAUCAGCCACCAUCACGUCAAUAUGUCUUUUAGAGAAAUUCUGGAGCGUAAUAUUAGUAUCAUUUUGCCACGCCAAACACAACCCUCCUCUAGUACCCUCUGAAUCCACCUCUAUACCAUUCGCAAAACCACAUCUACGACGAAUUCUUUCCAUCCGAUUUCUACAAAGCUUGGUCUCCAUGAAGAAGACAAUUUGGGGAUUAUAAUUCUUCAGCGAAUGCUGAAGUCUUCGAACUGUCCGUGGAUUGGGGAAUCCACGGACAUUCCAGCUUAGUAUUUUCAUUGUGUCCGGUCGGCUUGCCAUUUGGCAGCCGUCGAUGUUAAAUGAUUGAUUUCCACCACUUUCCUGCUUCUUACCAUCAAACUGUCAUUCUCUUUUCUUCCUGCACAAUCUUCAAUUUCCCUUCUAGAUCUCUUUUUUCCUUCCUCUCCUAUGAUAGCAACUUCCUCCAAGUCAUGUUCCAUCAUAAUACUUGUGGCAUUUCCUUUUCCUUGGCCUACGCAGCAUAUACCUCCUUCCAGAUUAAGACCAAGGAUUGGAUCAACAAUCUUCCCAAAUCUUAAUUUUCCCCCUAUCUUCUGUUUCUCCAUUUGGACCUCUGUAUUUUCUUCACCAAGACCUCCACUAUCAUCAUCUGUUUCCUCCCGUAACCAGAUACUCUUCAUUGAUAGUGACCUUUGGGAUUGUGCUCUGAUAGAAAGAUCCCAUCCCAAAUCUGCGAUUUCUACUCCAAUAUUCAUUUUUGUUUCGCAGAACGAAUCCCUAUGGCCCAAUAUUCCACAGAAAAAACAAAAGAGUGACAAUCUUUCAUACUUAAAAGUGACGUAUGAACGUCUCUCCCCAUAUAAAAUCUGUUUCCUCCUUUUCAAAGGACGCCUUACAUCAAUUUGGACCCUAAUUCUCAUAAAGUUCCUAUUUUCUUUCCCCAAGUUUGAAACGUCAUAUUCCAAAAAAUUCCCCAAAAAAUUCCCCAUCUGCAUAUCUAAAUUUUCGAAAUAUAGGCCAAUUGGCACCUCAUGGAUCUGAACCCAGAAAGGUGUGAAAACUAAAGGGACUUGUAACGGAUCCUCUCCAACUUUCAAUUUGUAAAGAAUCAGCAGAUGGUUGUUAAAGGUCUAAGGUGAACCCUUUAACACCCUGUCCAUAUCCAUAGCAUGAAAAAAUUGAAACAAAAACCUUCUUUCCCCCAGAUCUCAAAUUCGAACACCCCGAACCGGAUGCCACAAGUUUGCCAUUGUACUUUUCAUAGCAGAAAAAUGAAUCAUACUAGCUGUGAGAAAACAUCCCACAAGUUGAAAAAACUCACCCUCUUUUUCCCGAUUUGGAUCUGUUGGUAUGAGAAUAGCAUCCUCUUCUUCCUCAUUGAUUGACAAGUGGGCUAAUUCAUUCUCCAUCUUUUUCAGGUCACUACUAUGGAUCCACUUCCUGAUGCGGUAGAAAAGACAACUGGGAAACACAGAAAUCAAAGAACAAAAGUUCCACACGAACAAGAAAAACAAAGACUUCUACCAGCGGCGGCAGACAAAGAAAAAAAAAUUGUUCCAUUCCAUUAAAUUUUUUUUUGUUGUUGUUGGUUUUUUAAGUAUUAACAUAAAACAAGUAAAAAAAGCACAAAGGUAUACAUGUAUUAUUAAACAAUAUUAAAUGGGAUGUUGACUAAAUCUUAUUUCGGUUGGAACCGACAUUGUUGACAG